rnacentral:tRNA from 1 species
UGUUUUAUAGUGUAAAAAGCACAUGAAUUUUUGAAUUUCGUAGGUUAAGUUUGAUUCUUAAUAAAACAA